AAUAACCAAAUAUAACACUUGGGCUAAGUGUCAGGUUGGUUAUUUUUCUUAUAUCUCCGUCACCGAGGGCCCAAGUAUCAUAUACGCCUCCAAAAUAAAGAGCCUUGAACAUUUAGGAGAAAAGCAUCUACGCCUAAUAAAAUUAAGUGACUACCCAAAAUAGUGGUUAUUUUAUUUCUAUCUUUCCA
rnacentral:antisense_RNA from 1 species